CCCCGGCGCCACAAGUGGUUAUCACGAUUAUUGGGCCUAAAGCGUUCGUAGCCGGUCUGGUAAAUCUCUUGUGAAAUUGUUCGGCUUAACCGAACAGCGUGCAGGAGACACUGCCAGACUCGAGACCGGGAGGGGUUAGAAGUAUUCCAUGGGGACUGGUAAAAUGGGAUAAUCCAUGGAAGACUACCGAUGGCGAAGGCAUCUAACCAGAACGGAUCUGACGGUGAGGAACGAAAGCCAGGGGAGCGAACCGG
rnacentral:rRNA from 1 species